CAAACACCUCCUCGUGACUUUAAUAGCUUCUGUGCAUACGUUAUAGUAUUUACCUUCCCGCUAUCUAGCGCCUUUUUCCUGAACUUCUGGUUGGCUUCACAUCUUAACAGUUCCACUUCUUCUUCGCUGUUAAACGUCCAGUAUUUUCUCUGUGAGCUGUCAUGGAACAUGUCUGCAAAACAGGACGUCAAACAUGUCAGAGAGAAAGCAAGUUAUCUUUGUAGGAUGCUCAAACUACGACAAGCUUUUCACUUGGCGCCAAUAAAGGUGCUAUAAAGCACUGCCAGCCUGCAUUAACCAUCCACAAGCAAAGAAUUAAAGCUUAACCAGCUGUUGCCUUGGCAACCAGUGUUUGAUGUCAUCAGGGACACCUCCAAGGACACUCGUACAGGCACAGGGUCAUAUGCACUGCAGCUGGGCAUCAACACCCAGCAGUAAGAUGGCCACCAAUCCACCUUUAAUCCUCCUUUAAACAAAAGAGGACGUGCAUGCUGGUUAUGUGUGACACUCCUGUGAGAUCCACCAGCUUGUCAAAAGAAAUUAGAAAUACAUUUUAAAGCCCCAUUUGCUUUUCUCAGGUUGGCAUUGUUUUUUGCACCCUUCCCCCUCCCCUGCAGACACUUAACGCUCCCCCACGGACCCUCCUCUCUUUCUCUCUAAUUGAGCUUUGUGUCUACCUCCACCCCCAUUCAAAUGUGGACUCAUUUGCAUAGCACCAUGGCCAGCUCCCCAGCUGUACAGUGGAGAACUAAAUGAGGAACACAGACCCACUUUACGUGAUGUGAAUACUAAGCAGCCAAGCGGCGUUGUUUGUGUGUUUCCUGGAAAUACAACAAGCACCUGAGAGAUGAACAGGAAGAGCACAUCAGUGAGCCAUCUGAAAAGACAUGCAGGAUGUAUUGUGAGAAGUAAAACGUUUCAGUGUUAUGUGUGAUAAAUUGAUGCGAAGGAGUCAUACAGUGCAAUUAUUAGAAACCAGGUGCCUUUCUACUGAGGGUUGCAUACAGAAAAAUCAAAGGAUGCCGGCGGUCAUUUUUAUAUUUUUCUAUUUUUUUUUAUUUUACAAAAAGGCUAAAAGAAAACUCUUUAUAUACAUUAAAGAUUUGUGUUAUUAUUUACGAGUACUAACAUGUCUGCUUUUUGUCUUUACUUUUGCCAUUUUGCUCUAUUUUUUUCAUUUUUUUGCACAAAACACACUUUGGACACCCCUGAUUUUAACUUUGCCCCAUAUCAGAAUGUCUAAUCAAGAAAUUACAAAAAAAGCAAGAAUUUCUUAGGAGAUACUUUUGACUCUUUUGAGGAGGCAAAAUGGGGUGCACUACUCCACUUCAACCAGCAGAGGCAUGCUGAGUAAACUACUGUAUUGACCUAUUUCCCCCUAUGAAAAGGUUAAAAAAAAAAAAAGAAAGACAUACCAUUGUUAUUAUCAGAGUCUAGAAAUGUAUUCACACAAACUGACUUCUCCUCAAGUAGGUCCAAGCUUUUCUUCUUGUCACUUGCACAUGCCAGUGUCCUGGACAGAUGCAGGCAUAACACCUGCUCUAAAAAAAAGUGUCUCAAUGAUAAUAAUUUAAAAAAGAGGUCUUUUAUUCAAGGUUGUCUUAUAUUUGCGUCAGUACGGUGUUUGUGAGGGAAAUGCAGGCCAAUCUCAUGCCUAAUGUGCUUGCCUGCGUUUUUGAUAUAGACUAUUAUACAAAUCCAUAUUCUACAUAAUUGAUGUGCCUGUAUUACUACAGCAUUGUAUCAGUACUCUAUCUCUCAUUGUUUGAAAAUACUGUUAGAGGAUUAGACAAUAAUAAGAACAUUAAAACAUACGACUAUCACCUUUAGUUGUCCAUAGGGCUGCGUCCAUGUAUUCUAGUACUUGUUGUUUCUCUUGUCUCAUAUAACAGAGCCCAUGUGUUUUGUAACUUUUUGUAUAGCUCAGCCUUGUUGAGCCAUGAACCAGGCCCAGCGAGAGCGUUUGUUCAUACACCAUUGACGAACCUCACCGAUGUUUGGCUUGAGUGCAUAGAGACACAAUUAUGCUGAAUUUUUUAUGCACUCCAAACACACUCAACGCCACAUGUUAAACACAACCUUAUAACGGCAACCUUUUAAGAACCAAAAACCCAAGGCCAAUUUUGAUUACAUACAUAUUGGCGAAGAUUUGUGACAUUUCAUCAAAUUCUAGGAUUCAGUCAUGGCUCAAGAAAUGCUCAUUAUGUAGGAAAAUCAAACUGCUUUGCUUUGUGCAUACCGCUUCCCAUGAAGUAAUGUGAGUGCUCUCAGGUGAAAGCUAAAUAAUUCAUGCCCAUUUCUAAACGGUUGCUCAUAUUUUAAGUACAGAAGAAGGUGGGAAACACACGUCUUGCUUUGCAAAUCCCUCUGGUGAACAACAUUUUUGAAAUGACUCUCAUAAUAGUAUGUCUCUAUACAGUAUAAUGUUAAAGCUAUGACAUUUGGGUGCUGUUCUUGCCUUUCCUGAAUGUGUAAUUAUUGAAUGUGUCACUGUGUACAUGUAAUAUGACAUUUUUUCAUAUUUAAAUUGAGUUUUUGUAAUAUCGCCUUCAUACUCAAAGCACCGUACAUUUGAAAUAAAGCAAUUGACAUGUGAUGGAAAUCUCAACAGCUUUAAUUUAAAACGUUUCUCAAAAAUAUGGCACCAUUUCAUGCAGAUAAUUAAAGAAUAUGGACAAUAUUUGACAAUGUAAAUAUACCAUCAUUUGUAAAACAUAUCUCCAUUGUGGCACCAUAAAAGAUUCUUUAAUUCUGUAAUUGAGAACUUAUCAGUCACUCUUUGUACUGUAAAUACUUGAACAUUCAAAAACCUUGGGUUUUAGGAAUGAUUUGAGCCUUGGUAAGCCAAGGAACCUCUGCUAUCUCGAAUGGUAAUUCAUUUAAUAUAAUUAAAGAAAUGUACAGUGUUAUUAUUACUAUAAAUUUAAUAAAUAGAAUAAAAAUGACAACUGAUAAAUACCAUUGUAAAGUGUCCUUUGGGUGCUUUAUAAAGGUUAACCCCUCUAUCCUGCAUAAGCAGUUGAUUUCAAUUAGGAGCUCCCUGGCUGAUUAUAUAUAGAAGAAGAAUUAAGAAAUUGGGGGUGGGGAUUUGCAUAGCGUUGAUCAAGUCAUGUUGCCUAGCAACCCAAAUCAUUUCUGUCAGACAAAAAAAGAGAAAAGAACAGAGAUUUAAUAAUCAGGUUGUGUGCAUUAAAAUGCAAAGCAGGCUGUCAGACUGCACUUGAAGGACAGCAGGAAUUAGCCGAGGGUAAUUUCUUUACUUACAGGUGAAUAGCAUGACCUUCCCCAGCAAGUGACUGUCAGAAUCUCUACAAAUUAGGCCAGAUAGGUUUUAAGUGUGUAUAUAUUGAAAGUCAAAUUUAACACUUUUUUAUUUUUGGUCAUGUUGAUUUUUCUUCUAUAUGAAUAGUAUUUUUGUCAUUAGGAUAAUAAUAAUAAUAAUAUAAAAGAAAUGCAUUCUAAUUUUCGGAUAGAUGAUUUGCCGUCAUCCUUAAUUCUUGUGUAAUCCCUGGCACCCUCCCACCUAAUGGCAGCCAUCCUCUUUUUGUCCCAGCACAUUCUUGGAAGUGCGUGUGCGCUCCACGCGCAGGCCUCCCGUGCAGCAAAAAGCACUGUCAGGUGGUCGCGAGCCAUUAGUACACCCCCACCCCCCUUGUGCUCCAUAAAUUGCAUGCAUUAUAUCCUGAAAUGUCACAAACAUUAAAUAACGACUGGUUGGGAUUCGAAGCAAAACAUUGUUUUUAAUGCAAAAUAUUGUAUCAGAAAUUAAACAUCGAAAUUGAAAUCUUUAGCGUUGACACAGUUUGGUUAUUCUGCAAAUCUAUAUUUUAUCCAAGAUCUGUGCAUACACAUAUUAUUUGCAGGCAGAUUUUGCCAUAGUGACAAUCUGCCAUGUGCCAAUGCUGUUUAAGCAAUAUUAAGUGUUUGCAAGAUGUUAAUGAAUUAAUGAAUAUUGUCACAUUUAUUGGGAUUGAUACGUAGUUUUCCGCUCAUUUAGUCUUAUUUCAUUUACAAUUAUUUACUUGUAUAUAAAAUCUAGUUAGGUCUAUACUGUAGAUUUUAAGGGAAUCUGCUCACUCACACACACACACACACACACACACACACACACUAGUUCUCUCUCCAUCUCCUCACUAGAUGGCGUAAGAACAUCACUCCAUAAGGUUUUAAUCUGAGCAAACGUCCUCUGCAAAGGAUAAACUGUUUUUCCCCUCAAUAGAUCUUUAUCCAUGCAUUGUGGUCACUCUUGAAACCCUUGUAUUAAAUUAACAUGAAAGAUCCAUUUGUGCAUUAUAGCAUUUGAUUGGCUUGGCAGUAGAAGUCAGUAGCAUUCUUCCAAAUGCAAUUAUUGUACACAGGAAAAAAAAACCCAAUACAUUUUACUUUUGUAGUGUGCCUUACAUGUGUUUUUCAAUGUAGAUAUGUUUUAAUUAGUACACAUCCUUUGUCAGUAAGAGGAAAUGUCAUAUUAUUAGAAGGCAGAAAAUACCAAGGAACUCAUAAUCUACUUGAGAUGAAUCAACAGCGCCUCUGCUGGUUGCAACCAAGUAGUGCACUCCAUUUUUGCACCAACCGAUUUAAGACUGUACAAUAUUUCAACAAUCAAUUACACAUAUUGGAUCAAAUAUUAAAUGAUGAAUCAGUUGGCUAUUAUUACUAUCAUCACUGGUUGUAAAAGUAUACAGUAUACAAUAUUUUUCUAGAGUGUCUGAGUAUGUAUAGUAUGUGGUUUUAUGUAACUUUUGAUCACCUACGGGAAUUUUUUUUUUUUUGAUUAAAAAAACAGUAAAGACAUUUCUUUUUUUCCCAAGGAAUCUAAUAAUUGUGACUGAAUUUACAGGGCUUUUACUGGUUGCACUAAAAUCCAAAGAAUCCAUUCGAGACAUCCAAAAAUAUUAACACAAAACACAUUCUAUAGUGAAUAAUCAUAGUUUUACCUACGUAAAACAAUGCAAAGGAACAGGAAUAUAAAGGAAAUUACUUUUAUUGGAGACUCUUGUUGAGAAAGAUGAGUAAAGAGGCAAUGAGCGAAGAAGAAGAGGGGAAGGGAGAGCCAAAAGCACUUCUUAAUUACACUCAUUCAGUAGUGUUUCUUGUCUUCUUUAUCAAAUGGCUGGCACUUGUAAUAUUCUUUGGCCCCAUGGUGGGUUGUUUUGCAGCCGUGAUCAAUUUUUAAAAUGAAAUGUUAGCAAAGUAUUAUUGUCAACAAGUAAUGACAUCAUCAAGUGGUGCUUGGUGCUAGGGCAUCAUGAGUUUGGUGGGAGUUGAGUGCAUGUUUCAUAAGAAUAAAACACAAUUGGAUUCAUUAAUAUCAGGACAAGACUGAGUCACCGGGUGGGAUUCCUAUUUUUAUUCAAAAUAACAUGCGGGCAAAUUGACAAAUUUGUUCCGCGCAAUAGUCGUGUACGAAGAUGGAGACAUAUUAAUGGCAAUCAUUUUCAUGGAAUACUGGUGUAUACUGAUACAGAUGUAUGAAAGCGAAAGUACUAUUGUGCCUAAAUUAAAGUCCAACUCAUGUUAUUUUUUCUGCCUUUUUUACUGUGUGAUUCAUUUAGUGUCUUCUCGUGGUUCCCCAGAAGCCCCUCUGUGCACUGCCUCUCCCAUUCACCUCCAAGUAGCAUGUCAUUAGCUCAUGGCCGUGUUGUCGCUCGCCGUUGUUGUCCAUGGGCCGGCUCCUGGGAGCGUCUGAAUUGGCCUGGGAAAGAGACUGACCGAGGCUUAACUGGGGUAUAGCUGCGAGGCUCUGUG